rnacentral:lncRNA from 10 species
CUGAGCAAGUGACUUGCAAGGAAACUUUAGCAUUCCAUCUUGGACUUGUGUUUUGCAUCAAUUUCAAGAGAUGCUGUCAGAUUCUAUCAGGAAGGAGUUGCUGAGCAAUAAGAGAUGGGGUCUUACUAUGUAUCCUAGGCUGGAAUACAGUGGUUAUUCACAGGCACAAUUAUAGUGCACUAAAGCCUUGAACUUCUAAGCUCAAGUGAUCCUCCUGCCUCAGCCUACUGAAUAACUGGGACUAAUGGCACACACCACUGCACUCAGGUGGAGACACGCAUAGAACCUCACACACUCAAGACCUCCCCAUGGCAUACCAAAGAACCAGUAACUUACAAGAACCGAAAGAGCACCGAUGCACUUGAGAUUUUCUAAGUCUUCAUUUGAUUGUUUUUGUAGAGACUUAUUCUACUGGAAGUAUAUGAAUACUAACUCAAUGACAAGUCAUUAAACUCGAACUUUAUAAAAAUAUGAUUCUAAGGGCCACAAUGUCCAACUUCAGUAUAAAGACCUCUCUAAAAUAUUGAAAGCAGGUAUCUCCAAAUGUAAAUAUUUCACUAGCCACUUUGCAGUUUUAGUUUAGGCUCAAGUAUGAUUUUUAAUUUCGUUUUUAAAAAUAUCACCCAAAAUUAAAUACAUGUCUACCUAUUUCUGAUUCUUGAGCAUCUAUCUUAUACAUGUUCAAAACUGACCCAACCCCUAAUUUGUUUCACUGUAACACCAAACACAAGAAAAAUAACUGAGUUAUUGUAUACUAUAUACAAGAGGAUGUAUAUAGAUUAUAUGCAAACACUACAUUUUAUAUAAAGAACCUGAGCAUCUGUGAAUUUUGGUAUGCGUUGGGGGGGGGGUGGUCCUGGAGCCAAUCUCCUGAGGACACAUCAAGGAUGACUGUAAUUCCAUUUAUUAUAAUAUUCUUUUGCUAGUGUGAUCAUAUAUUAUACCUCUACAUAUAUUACAAAACCUCAUAAUGAUACCAUUCAACUUUUGUUUUAAAAAGUCAGCUUUCUUUUAAAGAAAGUGACAGAGGAAAAACAAAAAGCCAUUUGUAUUUAUCACCUUGGUGGUAUUCAUUUCUUCCUGUAGAACUGAGUUUCCAUCUGAUAUCACUGCCUUUCAGCUUAGAAACUCUUAGUAGUUCUUAUAUUGUAUGUCUAUUAACAAUAAAUAUCUAAGUUUUUAAAAUGUGAAAUUGUCUUACUUUACCUUCAUUUUUGAAUGAUAUUUUCAUUGGAUAUUGCAUUGUGACCUAAAGGUUUUGUUUUUUCUUCAUCCUUACAACUUUUUACUAAUGUCAUUCCAUAAUUUUUUGUCUUCGAUUUUUCUGAUAAGUCAGCUGUCAGUAAUAUUAUUGCUAUCCUGUAUUUAAUGCUUCUUUUGUUUUCUGGCUAUUUUGAAGAUUUUCUCUUUAUCUUUGAACUUUAUUUCUAUUUUUUUGAGAUAGAGUUUUGCUCUUUUGCCCAGGCUCAAGUGCCACGAUAUUGGCUCACUGCAACAUCCACCCUCUGGGUUGAAGCGAUUCUCCUGCCUCAGCCUCCUGAGUAGCUGCGAUU